GGACGAACGCUGGCGGCGUGCUUAACACAUGCAAGUCGAACGGAAAGGCCCUGCUUGCAGGGUACUCGAGUGGCGAACGGGUGAGUAACACGUGGGUGAUCUGCCCUGCACUUCGGGAUAAGCCUGGGAAACUGGGUCUAAUACCGGAUAGGAGCCAUUUUUAGUGUGAUGGUUGGAAAGUUUUUUUCGGUGUAGGAUGAGCUCGCGGCCUAUCAGCUUGUUGGUGGGGUAAUGGCCUACCAAGGCGGCGACGGGUAGCCGGCCUGAGAGGGUGGACGGCCACAUUGGGACUGAGAUACGGCCCAGACUCCUACGGGAGGCAGCAGUGGGGAAUAUUGCACAAUGGGCGCAAGCCUGAUGCAGCGACGCCGCGUGGGGGAUGACGGCCUUCGGGUUGUAAACUCCUUUCGCUAGGGACGAAGCUUUUUGUGACGGUACCUAGAUAAGAAGCACCGGCUAACUACGUG
rnacentral:rRNA from 1 species